rnacentral:rRNA from 1 species
GGCGGCAUGCCUUACACAUGCAAGUCGAACGGCAGCACGGGGGCAACCCUGGUGGCGAGUGGCGAACGGGUGAGUAACACAUCGGAACGUGUCCUGUAGUGGGGGAUAGCUCGGCGAAGGCCGGAUUAAUACCGCAUAAGCUCUAAGGAGGAAAGGGGGGGAUCUUAGGACCUCUCGCUAAAGGGGCGGCCGAUGGCAGAUUAGCUAGUUGGUAGGGUAAAAGCCUACCAAGGCGACGAUCUGUAGCUGGUCUGAGAGGACGACCAGCCACACUGGGACUGAGACACGGCCCANACUCCUACGGGAGGCAGCAGUGGGGAAUUUUGGACAAUGGGGGCAACCCUGAUCCAGCAAUGCCGCGUGUGUGAAGAAGGCCUUCGGGUUGUAAAGCACUUUUGUCANGGAAGAAAAGGCCGCCCCUAAUACGGGGGGUUGAUGACNGUACCUGAAGAAUAAGCACCGGCUAACUACGUGCCAGCAGCCGCGGUAAU